rnacentral:rRNA from 1 species
UACGUAGGGACCAAGCGUUGUUCGGAUUUACUGGGCGUAAAGGGCGCGUAGGCGGCGCGGUGAGUCACUUGUGAAAUCUCUGAGCUUAACUCAGAACGGCCAAGUGAUACUGCAGUGCUAGAGUGUGGAAGGGGCAAUCGGAAUUCUUGGUGUAGCGGUGAAAUGCGUAGAUAUCAAGAGGAACACCUGAGGUGAAGACGGGUUGCUGGGCCAACACUGACGCUGAGGCGCGAAAGCCAGGGGAGCAAACGGG